rnacentral:rRNA from 1 species
CUGCGACCCCAGGUCAGGCGGGAC